rnacentral:rRNA from 1 species
AACGCACCAUGCGCCCUUUGGUAUUCCGAAGGGCAUGCCCGUUUGAGUGUCAUUGUAUUCUCAAACCCACCCCUCGCUUUUCGUGAGUGCGGUCGGGUUUGGAUUUGGAGGUUUUUGCGGUAUUUCAAAUUGCUCCUCUUGAAUGCAUUAGCUCGAGCCUUUGUGGAUCAGCUUCGGUGUGAUAAUCGUCUACGCCGUUCUGUGAAGCAUAACUAUGGGAUUCGGCUUCCAAUAGUCCUUCACUGGACAAUAUCUUUGACCUUUGACCUCAAAUCAGGUAGGAUUACCCGCUGAACUUAA